AUCCAUUCUUGACCAAAUGUCAACAAACAGAAUAACAGAAAUGUUAUUAAAGAAAGUUUCUCUUACAAGGUAUGCAUCAAUUAUUAAAUUUCCAUAGUUUAUCAUUGUUGUCAGUAAAAAUUUUUUUCGUGUGAAAUACCUAGCAAAUGUUUCAUUUUUGUCAGUGAUGUAUUGUGAGAAAAACGAUAGCAUUUUGUUCUUUAUCAUUGUGUUGAUGGUACAUUGGAGUGCUUCACAAACCUGUAAGUGCUGUUAUCCAGUCACUGGUACAGACACAAGUAAAGAUAAAUCUUCUCGAAGGAAAUUAGCUGAAGCCAGCGGGCCAUUACCUAACCCUUCUGGAACACUUUACUGUGGUCAUACAGAGAGAGAACUGAAAGAUGGACAAUUAAGAUCUGGCAACAUGCAAAAGGUAAUCCUCCAGAGUAAAGCUGUUUGUUAUAUCACUCCUUUAUUCUUCAGUAGAUAAUAUAGUACUAUUGAGUUACAUGAAGAGCUAAGCAAAAAAUUUACCAGAUAUAAGUACCUUAAGAAUUAUAAAUAUAGAAUUACAGUGCAGAAGCGUCUUCUGUAUAUAAACAGAAGGGCCAUGUUGGCAUUGGAGUCGAGGCAUGAAUUGUUUUCAAAGCCACAAACAUGGACAAACUGGAGAAGAAAAGCUGCAGAGAGAGCGUGAAGCUUCAAGUUCAAUCGGAUAAAUAAUGGCCUCAUUAUCCACGUAUUGCACAGGAUAGAAUACUUUCUCUGUUUCAUACGUGGCUUUGCCUGACCCCUUCCACCUCUGAGAUACGGUGUUUUUCCAAAUCCUCCCGAAGCUGUACUGCCAGCCACUGACGCGGACAGGAACUCAUAGGGCUUCUGGAGGCUCAGUUCCUCUCACUGGUCUGGAGUUCAGUUUCUGGAUUCCCUGAGUGACACGUGGUUUCAGAGCCCCAGGUCAAAGACACGUUUUCUUCCACGUCUGUAAGGUACUUUGUGCACUUUUCUUUUUUUUUUUUUUUUUGUGCACUUUUGAAUAUGCACGUGCAAUCUGAACAUGACUGGGGAGCCAUGAUUCAAAUUGUUCUCAAAGGUCAAAGGGCACUCAGCCAACUCAGCACCUGACCAGCAGCCCCAGCAAGGCAGAGUUCUUUCUUCCCUCUCUUCCUCUUUCUCUCACUUCCUCCCAUGUUUCCUUCCCUCUCUCCUCCCUAGAAUAUUCUCAUCCUGACUGUAGGUGCAGAGAACAGCCUGAGAGAAGUGUUAGCAGUGGCAAAUGGCCCUAGGACCUGAUCACCUAAAAUGGUCUCCUUUUAGCUCUUUCUAAAUUAAAAAAAAAAAAAAAAAUCAACAGUGUUCAAGAGAGAAAUUGUGGUCCCUUUAUUCUCAGCAACGGAAGCUGGGAGUUAUGCUGUUCCGUGGGAUUUCCUUGUACUCCCUCCCUGAGGCCUCUUUUCCCUGCAGCCUUCUUCAUUUUGUCUCUCCUUUCCCUUUCUCUUCUCUGAUUCUUCCCUUUUCCUGAGGUCCCACAUUUGCAGACACCUCAAAUGCUUGUGUGUUCUUCCUUCCCUUCCAGGUUUCCUCUGCACCAGAUGUAAAUGGCACCAGCAUUUUUACCAGAAAGAAAGCUGCUUUAAAAACUGGCAAAAACAAGCAAUGAAAAGAGAUAACGUUUAAUGACUUAGCACACUUAUUAUUGGGGGACUUGUUUGUAUGUUUCUCUGAAUUCCAACCUUUAGUGAAAUGGUCUCAUCCAUUUUUAGUGAGGAAAACUUGAUUUGCUUCAGCAGAACUCAUCUCUAUAGCAGUCAUUAUUGCUUGAAUUCACAGGGGCAACAGUCUGAAUCCCAACUCCCACCAGAUGAUAUAGAGGCCUGCACGUACAGCAGGUGGCAUUACAGGAGAAGAAACCUGAGUUUGGGGCACCCACAUCUUACAUGGGCAGUAACUUUGCCUGACUUUUGCCUUCGAGGGAAACACCAUCUACAAGGCUGUAAGCAAAUCUACCCUUUGCUUCAGAGGAAACACUCUACUCUCUCUGUCUUCCAAGAGUGCUCACUAUACAGUCACCUUUGAAAGGACAGUCUGGAACAAGAUGUGCAGAAACAUGAGAGACCCGCGGAGAAGUUUCCGAUGAGUAUUGCACUCUGUCAGCCACCUACCGAGCGUAUAAACCCCCAGGUUCUAACUUAGUAGGGCUGUGAAACACACAAAGCUAUGGCUGUAGCAGGCUGGCUUGAGGGACGAAUGCCGGGGUGAGUGCUACCAGAGAGAAGGCCAAGUGCAGCAGGAGGAGGAGAGAGCAAAGAGAAGUCUCACCUGGUCGGGGUACACAGAAUGAACUUCAUGA